GAUGAACGCUGGCGGCGUGCCUAAUACAUGCAAGUCGAGCGAACAGAUGAGGAGCUUGCUCCUCUGACGUUAGCGGCGGACGGGUGAGUAACACGUGGAUAACCUACCUAUAAGACUGGGAUAACUUCGGGAAACCGGAGCUAAUACCGGAUAAUAUAUUGAACCGCAUGGUUCAAUAGUGAAAGACGGUUUUGCUGUCACUUAUAGAUGGAUCCGCGCCGCAUUAGCUAGUUGGUAAGGUAACGGCUUACCAAGGCAACGAUGCGUAGCCGACCUGAGAGGAUGAUCGGCCACACGGGAACUGAGACACGGUCCAGACUCCAACGGGAGGAAGAAGAGGGGAAUCUUCGAAAAUGGGCGAAGGCCUGAGGGAGAAAGGCCGCGUGAGGGAAGAAGGUAUUCGGAUCAAAAAACUCUUUUAUUGGGAAAGAAAAAAAGUGAAGGAAAAACGACACGUUUUGACGGUACAAAAUAAAAAAGCACCGGAAAAAUACGUG
rnacentral:rRNA from 1 species